rnacentral:rRNA from 1 species
AGCAGCCGCGGUAAUUCCAGCUCCAAUAGCGUAUAUUAAAGUUGUUGCAGUUAAAAAGCUCGUAGUUGAAUUUCGGGAUUGACCCAUCGGUCGUGCCUUAAGGGGUAUGAACUGGUGUAGUCAAUUUCUCACCUUCUGGAGAACCGUGAUGUCCUUAAUUGGGUGCCACGAGGAACCAGGACCUUUACUUUGAAAAAAUUAGAGUGUUUAAAGCAGGCAUUUUUGCUUGAAUACAUUAGCAUGGAAUAAUAAAAUAGGACGGCAUGAUUCUAUUUUGUUGGUUUCUAGGAUCACCGUAAUGAUUAAUAGGGAUAGUUGGGGGCAUUAGUAUUCAAUUGUCAGAGGUGAAAUUCUUGGAUUUAUUGAAGACUAACUACUGCGAAAGCAUUUGCCAAGGAUGUUUUCAUUAACCAAGAACGAAAGUUAGGGGAUCGAAGACGAUCAGAUACCGUCGUAGUCUUAACCAUAAACUAUGCCGACUAGGAAUCAGACGAUGUUAAUUUUUUAAUGACUCGUUU